rnacentral:rRNA from 1 species
GACAGAGGGGGCAAGCGUUGCUCGGAAUUACUGGGCGUAAAGGGCGCGUAGGCGGGAUGGCAAGUCGGUCGUGAAAUCCCUCGGCUCAACUGAGGAUCGUCGAUCGAUACUGCUGUUCUUGAGGAUUGCAGAGGAGACUGGAAUUCCCGGUGUAGCGGUGAAAUGUGUAGAGAUCGGGAGGAACACCGGUGGCGAAGGCGGGUCUCUGGGCAAUUCCUGACGCUGAGGCGCGAAAGCGUGGGAGCAAACGGG